AUAGUGUUGUUAAAGGUUUACCGCCUUGGGAUAGGCUUGCGUCUGAUUAGUUAGUUGGUGUGGUAACGGCACACCAAGGCUACGAUCAGUAACUGGUCUGAGAGGAUGAUCAGUCACACUGGAACUGAGACACGGUCCAGACUCCUACGGGAGGCAGCAGUGAGGAAUUAUUGGGCAAUGCUCGAAAGAGUGACCCAGCAACGCCGCGUGGAGGAUGAAGGUAUUCUAUAUCGUAAACUCCUGUGAGAGCAGACGAAAGACAGAUUAUUAAUCUGGAUGACUGUAUGCUCAGAGGAAGCCCCGGCUAACUACGUG
rnacentral:rRNA from 1 species